GAGCCUUCCCUCUUUUGCCAGUUAUCACUCCUCAUUAUAGGUUAUUAGAGCUAAUUAGAGGGACGGCCUUAGAAUCUGUCUUUUGAGAUUUAAGAUUAGCUGGAGAAUUCGCACUGGAGCGUCCUUGUGAAUUCUAGAAUUGUGCGGGAGAAGGGAGAGAUGAGAGGAGGUUAGGAAGCCAGGCAGGAGGUGGGACAGGCUGGGUGGUGUGAAGGUGAAUGCCUUUCUCCCGACCACCGGUGUCUUCUCCCACGCCCAGUCCUCUCUGUCCAGAUGGCCUCUGUGUCUGUGCUUUUUCUUCUGGAAGACUUCACUUCUAGUCCUACUCAUCCAGGAAGAGAAUGAAGCAGGUCUACAUGUGCUGAUGGGAGAAGAUGACCAACGUUCGGUUUAAGCAAAACAAAACAAAAACCUAAAGAAGAGUUCAAAGCCCAGUCUGGUGACUCAAUCCACGGAACACUCUACUGCAGGGCUGGAAACUAAGCCGCCAGCUAAGGUGGAAGCCAGCUGCCAUGUCAUGAGGAUACUCAAGCAGCCCUGUGGAGAGGCCACAUGAGAGUAAUAGGUUUCUUGACAACAUCCGGUCAAAACUUGCAAGGUGGUCUGUGACUAAGCUGAAGUACUUUGGAAUUAGAUCUUCAGCCUCAGAUAAAACUUCAGAUGACUGCAGCCCCCACUGACUAUAGCCUCAUGAAAGUCAAAAACAAGAAUUAGUA